UACGUAGGCAGCGAGCGUUGUUCGGAGUUACUGGGCGUAAAGAGUAUGUAGGCGGCUCUGUAAGUUUGGUGUGAAAUCUCCCGGCUCAACUGGGAGGGUGCGUCGAAAACUGCAGGGCUAGAGUGUGGGAGAGGAAAGCGGAAUUCCUGGUGUAGCGGUGAAAUGCGUAGAUAUCAGGAAGAACACCAAUGGCGAAAGCAGCUUUCUGGGACGGUACUGACUCUGAGACGCGAAAGCGUGGGGAGCGAACAGG
rnacentral:rRNA from 1 species